AUUGAACGCUGGCGGCAUGCCUUACACAUGCAAGUCGAACGGUAACGGGCCUUCGGGUGCCGACGAGUGGCGCACGGGUGAGUAAUACAUCGGAACGUGCCCGAUCGUGGGGGAUAACGAGGCGAAAGCUUUGCUAAUACCGCAUACGAUCUACGGAUGAAAGCAGGGGACCGCAAGGCCUUGCGCGGACGGAGCGGCCGAUGGCAGAUUAGGUAGUUGGCGGGAUAAAAGCUUACCAAGCCGACGAUCUGUAGCUGGUCUGAGAGGAUGAUCAGCCACACUGGGACUGAGACACGGCCCAGACUCCUACGGGAGGCAGCAGUGGGGAAUUUUGGACAAUGGGCGCAAGCCUGAUCCAGCCAUGCCGCGUGCAGGAUGAAGGCCUUCGGGUUGUAAACUGCUUUUGUACGGAACGAAAAGCCUUCUUUUAAUACAGGAGGGUCAUGACGGUACCGUAAGAAUAAGCACCGGCUAACUACGUG
rnacentral:rRNA from 1 species